rnacentral:rRNA from 1 species
AUACGGAGGAUGCAAGCGUUAUCCGGAUUUAUUGGGUUUAAAGGGUGCGUAGGCGGUUUGCUAAGCGGGAGGUGAAAUGCCGGCGCUCAACGUCGGAAGUGCCUCCCGAACUGGUGGACUGGACUGACUCUGCCGUGGGAGGAAUGUGUAGUGUAGCGGUGAAAUGCUUAGAGAUUACACAGAACACCGAUUGCGAAGGCAUCUCACGAAGGGUUGAUUGACGCUGAGGCACGAAAGCGUGGGGAUCAAACAGGAUUAGAUACCCUGGUAGUCCACGCAGUAAACGAUGAUGGCUAACCGCUGGUUUAUUCGGAUCAGUGGCCAAGCGAAAGCGAUAAGCCAUCCACCUGGGGAGUACGACCGCAAGGUUGAAACUCAAAGGAAUCGACGGGG